rnacentral:lncRNA from 1 species
AUCCAUUUGCAACUAAACCUGCAUAAAGAUGAUCGACAAAAUUAGUGCGGGUAUCUCCCCCUCUAAAACUCAGAAAUACAUCAUACUUGUGUGGGUGAUUGGAAGAAGAGGACGAGGUUUUGGUACUGGUUGAAGCCAUUCAAGACAGGUGGUGUGCUAAAAUUGCAAAGAACUGAGAUUUCUCUGCUAUGAUGCCCAGGCUUAAGAUAAAUGUAACAUUUUAAGCAGCUUCUUAGAAUCUUAACCUGGUGGGUGGGAGCAGGUUUCCAGGAAGGAGUAUCCCCAAAAGUCAAACAAAUUCUCUGUCCUUUAGUAUUUGCGGAACUAUAAAGCUUGCAGAUGAGUUGGGUACAUCUUUUUUAAUUUUUUUUAAUAUUUAUAAUAAUUAAAAAUUUUAAAUACCUCACUUUUAUUAAUUUUUUUUACAUGUAAGUAUUUAAAAUUCUUGAAUUUUACAUCAGAGUUAUUAUUAUUUUUAAAUAAAAACAAAAAUAAAAAUAAAAUUAAAAAUAUGAAAUAUUUCCAAACUGUUGUAUACAAUACAAAAGUGAUCAAAAUAUUCUUCAUAUACUUGAUUUUAUUUAGAAUACUCUAAAAAUACAUAUGAAAUUUAUUCCAAAAUAUAUAUAACAAAUUCUUAAUAUACUAGUUUAAAAAAUUAUCUUAGUCGUGAUUUUUAAGUUUAAAAAUAAUUUUAUUCUGAAUACUAUUAUAUCUCAACCACAGAUUCAAAACAAGAAAGAAAAAAACACCUAAACUCUACCGUGGACCCUACAGACAUUUUUUGUUUGGUGCUAACAGAGGCCAUUUUCAUUGGGUUUAGGCCUAAAUUCAUAAGGGAUUCAUUCAUUCCCGGUGUCUUCUUGGCUUCUUAUCCGAAGAGAAUCUUUGCACUGGUGUUUUCUUUUGUCUUGGUUUUGGCUAUUUUCGUUUUUUAUUUGUUUGUUUUUUUUCCGAACUCCUUUCUCUUUUAUGUCUAUCACUCAAUGGGGGUGGGGGGGGGGGGUUGUGUUUUUUGGUUCAUAUAUCAUGCAUAUUUAAGCCUAAGACUCAAACAAAGUAUGAAAAUUAAGAUGAAAGAUAUUGUCUUUUAUUAAUCCCUAAAAUACCCUUAACCCUUACAUAGGUACAAGUGAGUGUGAAUUUCAAUUUUUUUUGUGUUUUUUUUUCCUUUUCUAUUCCUUAUUAAGUAUUACUCAUUUUUAACCUUUUUUUUUUCUUUUUCUUCCAAUCUAUAUUUCUAUUUUAUGUCAAAUAAAAAAUAAUAAUGUUUUUUUUUUCAUUUUUAAAGAUAUUAAAUCUUUUUGCUCUUAUUAUAAGCAAUGAUAAAAAUUUUAAGAUUUUUCAUUCAAAUAUUUUUUAUCUUUUUGUAGUUAUCUUUUAUUUUUAUUUUAAUUUUUUAUUUUAAAUUUAUAUUACCCUUUCAUUUAUAUUUUUCUCUUAUUUUUAAUUAUUUUUUAUAUUUUCUACAUUAACCAUAUUUUAAAAAAUUUAAAAAUUGACUAUCACUUCACUUUAUUUUAUAUAUAUAUAUAUAUCCUUUUAGCCUUUUAAUUUUUAAUGUUUUUAUUUUAAAAUUUUUAAAAAGAUAAAUUUAUUGAAAAAAAUAACUAAGAUGUGAAGUUCUAAUAUUAUAUUAAUAAUUUUUCUUAUCUAGAUAGACUAAUGCAAAGUAUUUUGACUCACAACAAGAAAAUUGUCAAUACAAUUUUUUAGUUCAACUUUAGAAAUUAAAUUUCAAAUAAAAUAUAUUAUAUAAAAUUUUAUCUAAAAAUUAUUGAAAGUGGUAUUUAAUAAUUUUUAUUGACUUCCAAACUUAUCUAAUUUUUUUUACUUGAAAGGUAAUAGAACAUGUUUACAAAAAAAAAAAAAAAUUAAUUUUUCACUUUUUAAAUAAAUGAGUAUAAAUAUAUUAAAAGAAUUAAAGAUAAUCCUAGUAAAAAAUUUGAUAAAUAUGAUUAUAAUUUUAAAUAUAGAUUCAUUUGAAUAAAAUUUCACAAAAAAAAAAAUAGUGAAAAAAAAGAACAUUGCUAAAACUACAAAAACAAAAUAUGCAAUUACAAAAUUUUGAUGAUGAAAUUUAAAAAUAAAAUUCGAAACAAUUCUUGAGUGAGAGAAUUUGAGUGGGGAAAAAAUCUUUGAGGGGAAAAAAAUUGGAAAAUUUUUCAAAAUCACUUGAAAUCUUUAACAAAAAGUAGUUUUGUACACCCUUGUACAAUUAGUAAAUUUGUCUUGUAUAGUUAGUGUAAUACCCUUAUACAAUAACUCAAAUUUCAUACAUCAUCUCAUGAAUGUUUGACAAUAGGUCGGUUAACCAUGUUUGCAUUGGUUUGGUUUUAAAAAAGAAGAAAAAUUAUUGUAUAAUUUUGUUUUACAAUCAUCAUAAGUGAGGUACCUAUUCAAAUGACCAUAUACAAGUUAGAUAAAGUGUAUAAGAUGAAUGUAUGCUUAACCAAUGUGUGUAAGAAAUGUCAUUUAUCCUCAAUUAGGGGAAAUAAACAAGCAAGUUUUUCAGAAUCACUUAAAAUCUUUCACAAAUAAUAAUCUUGUACACCCUUGUACAGUUUGUAUAUUUGUCAUGUACAUUUAGUGUAAAUGCCUUGUACAGUGACUCAAAUUCCAUAUACCCCUUACUCAAUGUGUAACCAUAGAUAGGUUAACUAUGUUUUCAUUGGUUUGUUUCAAAAAUAGUGAAAGAUAGAAAAACAAAAUUUUCUCUCAAACAUCAUUAGUGGGAUAAGUAUUCGAAUUAUCAUGUGCGAGUUAAAUAAAGUGCAUAAAAUGAGUGUGUAAUAGAGGAAUGUGUACCUUAAGAGUGUGCAAUCCUUAGAUGAUAAGACAAAAAAAAAAGUUGUCUAAAAUUGAUUAAAAUAUUUCACAAAUGAUAGUAUUGUAUACCCCUUAUAUAGUUAGAACAUUUGUCUUGUAGAAUUAGUGUAAUAACCUUAUAUAAUGGUAUAAAUUUCAUAUAUAUGUAUAAAUUAUAUCCACAUGAGUGUGUAAAUUAUGUUCCCAAUAGUUUGACAUUUAAAAUAAUUAAAACAAAUAAAAUAUUAUUUUAUUUUAUUUUCAAUGCAAAAUGUAAUUAAAAAUAAGACAGAAAUUACUUAAAAACUAUUAUUUAAGCCAAGAUUAUUUAUUUAUUUCCUUUAAUGUUUGGAAAUAAAGAAAAAAGAAUAAAAAAAUUAUUUAACCAUAAGAAAUAUGAAUAUAAGAUUAGUUAGAAAAUACCAAAUUUAUUUAUUUAUUUCAUUUUAUUUUUGGAAUUAAAGAAAAAAAAUAAAAAAUUUAUUUAACCAUUAAAAAUAUUGAUAUAAGAUAUGUUAAAAAAUAGAAAUAACCACAAAUUUAUUUACUUAUUUCAUUUUAUUUAUUUAAAUUAGAAAGUAAUUUAUUUUAAUAGAUUAAAAUGUGCACAAUUGAUUUAUUACUUUGUUAAUUAUGGAUAUAUUAAAAUUUUCUAUUAGAAAAAAAAUAAAUAAAGAAAAUAAAAUUAAAAAGAGUAAUAAAUAUAUAUAAUUUAGUUAUUUAAUUAUUUUUCAUGUAAAAGAUAGUCUCACAAAAAACACAUAAUUGAUCAAUUUCUUUGUUUAAUUGUAAACAUACUAUGUAUUUUUUUAUUUUUUUAUUAAAAUAACUAAUGGAAAAAAAUAAAAAUGGAUAAUCAAUGAAUGAAAUUUAAUUCUUUUUAUUAUUUUUAUAUAAAAAAUAGUACUAAACAAGGUUUUCAAUUUUGAUUUUUAAAAAUAGUUUUCAUUUUUUAAUUAAAUGUUUUUUCAAAAAGAAAAUAUAAAUCAUAUUACCAUUUUUUUAGAAAGUAUUUUUAAAAUAGUUUUUUAACAUAAUUUUUCUUUAUUUAUAAUUUAAAAUAGAAAAUAAUACUGAUUUUCAAUUAUUUAUAAAAAAAUUUAAAAACAAUGAAAAAUUCAAAUUGUUAAAAUAGAAUUAUUAUGGUUGCAUGAAUAGUGGUGUAAUAAAGACAAAAAAAACGUAUGUGAAAGAUCAUUGGGUAUUUUAGUCCAUCACUAUUUUAUAUCCUUAAAAGGUAAUAUAUAAAAAUUUGAAGGGCAUAUUAGUCUUUUAACAUCUUAUAUCAUUUUCAUCAAUUAUGGAAGUUAUAUAAACCAAAUAUUAAUUUUUGAGCCCAACCGGACCAAAAUACAAUUCUCCUUUUUUUUUUUUUUUUUUUUUCUUCUUUUAAGUCUGCCACCCAAAGGAUUCACGUAAAUUGUGGAAGAACCUUUUUUUAGUCUGCCAUCCAAUGGAUUGAAGAAAAGUGUCUUUUCUCCUUGUUUUGUAUUAAUCGAAUGGUGUGUGACCAUGUCACAACGUCAAAGUAUAUAGUGUUUUUUCUUUGUUUUAAUUUGUCACCCAAUGGAUUCUCAUAAAUUGUGGAAAAAAAAAGUGGAUCACGCAAGCAUUUUACCGAAAGGUUUGUGACAAUCCAUAUAUAGAGAGAGAGAGAGAGGGAGGGAGAAAGCCUUGAAUGCAUAGGAAGUACUUUUUCUAAAAGCGAUUUUAUUUUUUAAAAGUGUGUAGACCCUAAAUUUGUCUUAUACCUUUAUUUUAUUUGAUUUAUUUGAUUUAUUAUUAUUUAAUUAUUUUCAGGCUCAUUUGAUUAAUGUUUUUGGACUUUUUGGUUUUUUUUUUUAUCUCACUCCCCUCCACAGACGCCCGACCUUCCCUUUUCUCUUUUUCCUUUCUUCCAUAUUCUCUUCUCCAGUCACAGCUCCUUUAUUUUUUUCCCACUCUUUUUCUUUCCUUCCCAUUUCUUUCAUUCUUUUCUCUUUCUUGUCUUCUUAUUUUGUUUUUUUUUUCUUUUCCCUUCUCUCCUUGUCCACGGCACCUCCAACGUCAACAACACUGCCCCACGCUUCGUCACCAACGGCGACACAAUCGUUGACCUCUCUCUGGCCACUUCUUCUCCAUCUUUCUCUUAUAUUUUAUUUAUUUAUUUAUUUAUUAUUAUUAGUAUUAUUAUUAUUUCUUCUCUUCUUUUUUUCUUUUAUUACCCUUUGUGCAUCGUCAUAGGCACGCCUCUAUCUCCAUUGUCGCUCUCCAUAGCCAUCGAUCUCACAACGGUAAGUUUUUUAUUUUAUUUUAUUUUAUAUCAUUUAUUUUUAUUUUUUAUGUUAUGUUAUUUAAUUUCUAUAAUAUUCAUUUUUGGAUUUGGACUUGUGUUUGAUGUGUUUGUUCUAUUCGGGUUGUUGCUUUGUAUUAGGCUUUAUAUAUUAUUGAUUUGGGCUUGGGUUGUGUUUUAGCAAUAGUGGAAAGAGCAAAAUGGGCAUGUUGCAUGUAUUUGUUUUGUUAUUAUCUUGUGUAAAUAUUUUAUUUUAUUUAAUUAGUCAUCCAAGUGAAUAUAUAUUAUUGAUUCUUGCCUUAUUUGUGGUAGAUAAUGCACGAACAAUGUAGUAUUCAUUAUUCAUUUAUUUAAUGUAUUAUUAUUAUUAUUAUUAUUAUUAUUAUUAUUUUUUUUAUUUUGCAUGUACAAUGAAUCAUUAAUAUUGUUUUUUUGCUUGGAAAAAAUGAUCUAAUAAAUUGAUUUCCUUUAAUAAACUGAAACCUUAAUUUGAUAAAGAUUUUUUUUAAUAAAUUUCCUUUUAGGAAAAAAAAAUAAGAAAGGGAAAACUUUUUGAAACCAAAAUUAUCUUGUUUAACAAACUCAAAUUUGUUUAUCUAUUUUUUUUCGUGUAAAAGUCGAACUCCUCCAAAAAUAAAAUCUUUAUAUAUAUAUAAUAAAACUACAAUAUCAUUUUUAUUGAGAAUCUACUUUUUUUAAUAAAUUGAAACUUGUAAUAAAUUAGCAACCCAUUUGUUUAAAAUGUUAAAUCAUUUUUUUAUUAAAGAAAAAAAAAUGAAAUAACAAACAUGAAACCUUUUUUUAUAAAUUGAAACCAGUUUUUUUUUUUAAAAAAAAAUAGAUUAAGAACCAUUUUCUUAAAACUAAAGAUAUUUUUAGCAAAUAUGAAAUUACCUUUUUAAUAAUGUUUUUUAAAAAAAAUCAUCAAAAUCAUUUUUUUUAAAUAACAAGAAUUUUAUUUUAUUUUUUUAAAUAAUUUUAUAAAAAAAAAAAAAACCCUAAAUCCCUAACACUUCUCACUCCCCUCCACAGACGCCCGACCUUCCCUUUUCUCUUUUUCCUUUCUUCCAUAUUCUCUUCUCCAGUCACAGCUCCUUUAUUUUUUUCCCACUCUUUUUCUUUCCUUCCAUUUCUUUCAUUCUUUUCUCUUUCUUGUCUUCUUAUUUUGUUUUUUUUUUCUUUUCCCUUCUCUCCUUGUCCACGGCACCUCCAACGUCAACAACACUGCCCCACGCUUCGUCACCAACGGCAACACAAUCGUUGACCUCUCUCUGGCCGCUUCUUCUCCAUCUAUCUCUUAUAUUUUAUUUAUUUAUUAUUAUUAUUAUUAUUAUUAUUUCUUCUCUUCUUUUUUUCUUUUAUUACCCUUUGUGCAUCUUCAUAGGCACGCCUCUAUCUCCAUUGUCGCUCUCCAUAGCCAUCGAUCUCACAACGGUAAGUUUUUUAUUUUAUUUUAUUUUGUAUCAUUUAUUUUUAUUUUUUAUGUUAUGUUAUUUAAUUUCUAUAAUAUUCAUUUUUGGAUUUGGACUUGUGUUUGAUGUGUUUGUUCGACUUUGUUAUUCGGGUUGUUGGUUUGUAUUAGGCUUUAUAUAUCAUUGAUUUGGGCUAUUGACGUUUAUUCAUAUAGGGUUUUCUUACAAUUGGGUUGUGUUUUAGCAAGAGUGGAAAGAGCAAAAUGGGAGAGUUAGGGUGGUUGAAGCAGGGAUGGGCAUGUUGCAUGUAUUUGUUUUGUUAUUAUCUUGUGUAAAUAUUUUAUUUUAUUUAAUUAGUCAUCCAAUUGAAUAUAUAUUAUUGAUUCUUGCCUUAUUUGUCGGAGAUAAUGCACGAACAAUGUAGUAUUCAUUAUUCAUUUAUUUAGUGUCUUAUUAUUAUUAUUAUUAUUAUUAUUUUGCAUGUACAAUGAAUCAUUAAUAUUGUUUUUUUGCUUGGAAAAAAUGAUCUAAUAAAAUGAUUUCCUUUAAUAAACUGAAACCUUAAUUUAAUAAAGAUUUUUUUUUAAUAAAUUUCCUUUUAGGAAAAAAAAUAAGAAAGGGAAAACUUUUUGAAACCAAAAUUAUCUUGUUUAACAAACUCAAAUUUGUUUAUCUAUUUUUUUUUUAUUUUUUUUGUUUUCGUGUGAAAGUCGAACUCCUCCAAAAAUAAAAUCUUUAUAUAUAUAUAAUAAAACUGCAAUCUCAUUUUUAUUGAGAAUCUACUUUUUUUAAUAAAUUGAAACUUGUAAUAAAUUAGCAACCCAUUUGUUUAAGAUGUUAAAUCAUUUUUUUAUUAAAGAAAAAAAAAAUGAAAUAACAAGCAUGAAACCUUUUUUUUAUAAAUUGAAACCAGAUUUAAAAAAAAAAAAGAUUAAGAACCAUUUUCCUUAAACUAAAGAUAUUUUUAGCAAAUAUGAAAUUACCUUUUUAAUAAUGUUUUUUUUUUAAAUCAUAUUUCAAAAUCAUUUUUUUAAUAACAAGAAUUUAAUUUAAUUUUUUAAAAUAAUUUUGUAUAGAUUUUUUUUCUAAAUAAAUUCGUAAAGAACAAAAUUCGUAUUUUUUGGAUAAAAUUGUUGAAAUUUUCCUUUAAAAUAGGCAAAAUUCUUUUUGAAUAAAAAAAAAGUAAUAAUGAAUUUGUGAAUAAAAAUUCCUUUUCAACAAAAGUUAAAAAAAAAAAAAUCUUUUUUACUAAAGUAGAUUAUGAAUGAUCCUCUUUUAGAUAAAAUUUCUUUUUUAAAAUAAUUUGUUAUCAUCUUCUUCUAGUAACAAAAUUAUCAAAAUUCUUUUCCUUUAGAAUAAAACUGUCAAAAUGCAAAUUUUUAUUUUUAUUUUUUAUUUUUAAGCAAAUAAAAGUCCAUUUAAAAGAAAAUGAGAAUCAAAUUAGAAAAUCAAAUUUUGGAGCACUUUUUUGGUGAAUAAAAUUGUAUAUGUAUGUUUAAUAAAAUUGGAUAAACUCUUUUUUUUUUUUUUUAAGUAUUUAUUUAUUUGUAAAAUCCAAAUCUUUAAAGACAAAUAGAAUUAAAGAAUUUUUUUCUUUUCUUUUCUUUUUCUUUUAUUUUUUUAUUUUUUAUUUUAUAUUUGUAAGUUCUAAUAAAAAAUUGAAAAAUUGUCCUCUUCAAUCAAUCUUUUUUUUAAUAAUUUUUUAUUAUUAAUAAAAUAGGAAUGUCUUUUUUUAACAUUUUUGUAAAUAAAGCUAUAAAAGUCUUUCUUUUUUUUUAAUUAAAAAAUAUUUUGCAAAUAAAGUUAUAAUUUUUUUAAAUAAUUUUUAUAAAUCACUUUCUUAAAUGAAAAUAAAUUGAAAUAUUUUUGUAAAUAAAAUUGUAACAAUUUAUUUCCUAACAAGGGUAAAUAAAAAUCAUUUUCUUGUAAAUAAAAAUUGUUUUUAAUAUAUUCUUUUGAGAAAAUAAGAGCAAAUAAUUUUCUUGAAAAUAAAAAUUGAUUGAAGAACUUAGUACCGGCUGAGUUUGACAUUUAUCUUUAUUACUCUUUAAUUAGUAACUACUUUAUUACAUAUUCAUAAUUAAAGUUUUGCAAACAUAUAGUUGUGGACCCCGCAUUUCGGCUCAAUGUGUUUCCCACUCGAAUGACGAACUUGAUUUUUGUUUUCGAAAAAUGAUAUUUCUUGAUUAAGAAAAAUUGACUUGGAGUCGCCACUUAUUUUUGUUUUAUUUUUAAAGGGUAACAAAAUAAGAAAGAAAAUCCUAAGUGUGACUCCUUGUUUUGGAAAAGGUGGUCUGUGAAAAACCUGAUCGGGCUCGGGGGUCAGGUUACUUAUCGGGAAGGUACGGUACGGACCAUAGCACCCCUCUAAGUCCCUAAAGUCGGGUCUCUACUAAUACAAUGAAACUGACGUGGCAAUCAACGAGAAAGUCAAUGGAUACUCACCUAAAUCAUGCACAAUAUGAGAAUCAAAACAAGUAAUAGAGAUUGACUGGAAUGAGAGUGGAUGCGUACCUCGGCCACGAGCCACAAUGCGCUAUCAAGAAACGGGAUUAGCGCACAAUUAAUGAAUACAAAAUAUAGCUCAUACAUAUCGAAGUGCAAAAUGAAGAUCAGACAAAAUACAUCAAGUGCAACAGUUGACAAUCGAAAGGGAUCAAACAUCGGGCCCCCACCAAAGCCCAAUUUAUGGUUCAUGAAUUAAUGUUACAAAUUUCGUGUUCUAGAAUUAUGAAUAAUUUAUUUUUGUUUAUGUAGAAUCAAGAAGAUUAGAAGAUUAUUUAAGAACCAAAAUGGAAUUAAAACUUUUCGAGUGAAAACUGGAUUCUUGGAGUUUAUUGGAAAAUUGGAGUCUUGGGAAUUAAAUUUAGAAGAUUAGAGCUUUAGUUAUUAAAAUGAAAAUUGCCAAAGAAAAUGAGAAAUGAACUUUAGGGAAUUAAACUGCAAGGACAUAGAUUUUGAAAGUUGAAUUUGUAAUAAUAAUAAUAAUAAGGAAUGAACUUUAGGAAAUUGAACUGCGAGAAUAUAGAUUUUUAAUAAUAAUAAUAAUAAUAAUAAUAAUAAUAAUAAUAAUAAUAAUAAUAAUAAUAAAUAAUGAUAAUAAGAAAUGAGCUUCAGGAAGUUGAACGGCUAGAGUAUAGAUUUUUAAUAAUAAUAAGAAGUGAACUUUAGGAACUUAAAUUGCGAGGAUAUAGAUUUUUAAUAAUAACAAUAAUAAUAAUGACAAUAAUAAUAUUAGGAAAUUGAAGUGAGAGAGAGUAUAGAUUUUUAAUAAUAAUACUAAUAAUAAUGAUAAUAAUAAUAACCAUAAUAAUAAUAAUAACAAUAAAUGAUAAUAAUAAUAUGGAUAAACAAAAGGGAUUAAAAGGGCUUUGGAAUUAGAAGGGCCUAGGAUGAUAACAAUAAUGAUAAUAAUAAUAAUGAGGUUUUGAAAGUUGAAUUAAUAAUAAUAAUAAUAAUGAGAUUUUUGAAAAGUUUGGAUUAAUGAUGAUAAGAGUAAUAGUAAAUAGGUGAUGAAAGUGUGAAUUAAUAACAAUGAUAAUAAUAAGGUUUUUGAAAGUUUGGAUUAAUGAUAAAUGGGUGAUGAAAGUUGAGUUAAUAAUAAUAAUAAUAAUAAGAUUAUGGAAGUUUGGAUUAAUGAUAAUAAUAAAUGGGUUUUGAAAGUUGAGGUAAUAAUAAUAAUAAUAAUGAGAUUUUUGAAAAGUUUGGAUUAAUGAUGAUAAGAAUAAUAGUAAGUAGGUGAUGAAAGUGUGAAUUAAUAACCAUGAUAAUAAUAAGGUUUUUGAAAGUUCGGAUUAAUGAUAAAUAGGUGAUGAAAGUUGAGUUAAUAAUAAUAAUAAUAAUAAGGUUUUUGAAAGUUUGGACUAAUGAUAAAUGGGUGAUGAAAGUUGAGUUAAUAAUAAUAAUAAUAAUAAUAAUCUACAUUAAGCCCAAGUCUAAAAGCCUAAGCCCAUGUCCAUCUCAUUAAAAAGAGCCCAUCUCCAUCAAGCCCCAAAUCUAUCAGCCUAAGCCCAUGCCCAUAAGAUAUCAACGGGCAAACCCAAGGCAAUUAAAGCCUUCAUAAACGUGGGCUUCUCUUCAUAGGCUUGGGCCUGGGUUCCAAGUUCAAAACCCAAGCCCAAAACCAUCAUGGGCAAAAUAGCCCAUCUCUUCACCAUCUGUCUCUCCACCCGCGAAGUCUCCACCGGCGGCACGAUGAAGAGGAGAGUCGUGGCAGCGCAGGGAAAAGAGGAGCAGUGGCGGCGCAGGGAAGAGGGGAACCGUGGCGGCGAUCCGGUGACGUUCAAAAGGUGUUGCCGCCAUGGUGGCUGGUGCAGGUGCGCGCGUAGCCGAAGCAGGUGGUGGCGGUUUGUUGACGUUAAGAAGGUGUUGCCAGUUCAGGGAGCGUGAAGGAUGACGACGCCACGCGUGCAUGGGAGGUCGUGAUACUCUCCAGGCCGCCGACAAACGCGCCUCUGAUGAAGACGGGGGGGAGUGAUGGCGGAAGCAGCUUACAUGUUUGGACCCCAUGCGUGUAGAAGGGCGGCUUUGGAAGCUCUCGCGGGGAUAGGUAUGGCGGUUGGAGGGAGAAAAGGUAUGGCAUCAAGGAUCUUAGGUGGUUUAACUAUGGUAGAUAUAGCUUCCUCUAUCAUCGAUGGGUGGACUGGUAGAAAGGUUCGGGUCCAAUGCCAUUGGGUUGGCAUGAAGCACCCGAAGUAACGGAGAAGCUCAUUCAUUGAGAGGCCAAGAAUGAGCACGCUGUAAAUCAACACUGACUGUGCCAAUUUUCUCUUCUUCAUCUCAUCCCGUAAUUCACAAGCACAAGUCAUGUUCUAUAUUCCCCAUUUCAUGAACCGAUAAACAUAAAAAAAAUAAUACAAUCCAACUAGUAGAGUAGGAAUCACAUAGUAUGAAAUAUAACGAGUAUGAAGAGCGAAAAUACACAGGAAAAACCAUGAUAAACGUACCUAAAGAUGAUCCCCUCCAGCUAGGUUCCCCCGAGAAAAAUCCAUCAGCCCCUUUUUUUUUCUUUCUGUCUCCCCUCUUUUUUUUUUUUUUCCUUUUCUUUUCUCUUCUUCUUUGUUCUCCUUUAGUUUCUCCCCCAAGCCAUGUUCGUAUCCCGUCCCAUCUGCCGCCUGAGAGCAGCCCACUUCAGUCCCCUUUUUCUCUGCCCCCAAAAACAGCUUUCCCAUCAUGUCGAACGGCUCGGGAAAAAAAAAAGGUAGGAAAAAAAAAAAAAUAAUAAUAAUAAUAAAAAAAAAACUGCCUGUUUCCGAGGGGGUCUACAAAUAUGUCCCUCUUCGGUAGAGUUCAUGAGUGUAAGGAAUAUGAACACUGAAGUGAAAAGAAGGUGUGAAUAGUGAGUGUAAUGAAAUGAACUCUACCGAAGAACCAAGGAGACCCCCAUAGGGACACUAGUGAAGCAUGAACUCACUCAGACCAAGAGACAAACACAAAAGUUCUAAUCCUAAGAGAAAAAAAAAACCUCAAAAUGUCUCUGAAGCCGCACUGAGAACCCAGGCUCCCUCCAGGAAUGUCUCCAGAAGUGACUCGAAAGACCAUAUCAAGGAUGAGUAACGGCCGAACCACUCUGAAAUACGGGAAAGAAUGUGCCAGAAGGAGACUACCCUAAGUGAACUAUAUGAAAAUGGCAAGUGUAGGGCAUCUAACAACAUGACCGAAGUAUGUGUCGUGAACUCAAAGGACAUCGUCAUAAGCAGUGAGAAGAGAGAUAUGAAAGGACAAUGACGAAUAGGCUAUAAGCACGAGGUGGCAAGGUGAGGAAAACGAGGAAAAACGCAAAUCCAUGAAGGCAACAUGCGCAAUGCUAGUGGAUAUGAAUGUCGGGGCCUGUGACUCUGAAUGAUACAGAUGAGAAGAAAUGACUCUGAACGUCAAAACACGAAAAGGUGAUGACUCAAGGUGCCUGAAGGGAUAUGUACAAUGGCUCUGGAUGCCAAACUAAAGAAAGAUGGUGGCAUCGAAUGCCUGAAUGGGCAUGAAAAAUGGCUCUGAAUGCCAAAACUAAGAACGAAGAUGGCUCUAACCGCCAAACCGAAUAAGCGAUGAUGGCUUUGAACGCCAAACUGAGAAUGAUGAUGGCUCUGAACGACGAAACUGAGAAUAAAGAUGGCUCUGAACACCAAAAUGAGAAGUGAUGACGGCUCUGAACGCUAAACUGAAAAUAGUGAUGGCUCUGAACGCCAGAACUGAGAAGUGAUGACGACUAUGAACGCCAAACUGAAAAUAGUGAUGGCUCUGAACACCAAAACUGAGAAACGAUGAUGGCUCUGAACGCCAAAGCUGAGAAUGAUGAUGGCUCUGAACGCCGAAACUGAGAAUAAGGAUGGCUCUGAACACCAAAUUGAGAAGUGAUGACGGCUCUGAACGCCAAACUGAAAAUAGUGAUGGCUCUGAACGCCAAAACUGAGAAACGAUGAUGGCUUUGAACGCCAAAGCUGAGAAUGAUGAUGGCUUUGGACGCCGAAACUGAGAAAUGAUGACGGCUCUGAACGCCAAACUGAAAAUAGUGAUGGCUUUGACCGCCAAACUGAGAAUGAUGAUGGCUCUGAAUGCCGAAAUUGAGAAGUGAUGACGGCUCUGAACGCCAAACUGAAAAUAGUGAUGGCUCUGAAUGCCAAAACUGAGAAUGACCGCCAAACUGAGAAUAAUAAUAAUGGCUCUGAAUGCCGAACUGAGAAGUGAUGAUGGCUCUAAACGCCAAACUGAAAAUAGUGAUGGCUCUGAAUGCCAGAACUGAGAAGUGAUGACGGCUCUGAAUGCCAAACUGAAAAUAGUGAUGGCUCUGAAUGCCAAAAUUGAGAACGAAGAUGGCUCUGACCACCAAAACUGAGAAUGUGAUAGCACUCGAUGUCGAAAUGAAAACACAGCUCUGAACGCCAAAUGGAAAAAGUGGCUCUAAACGCCAAAUAGGAAAAUGAACAAUGGCUCUGAACGCCAAACGGAAAACAAACAAUGGCUCUGAACGCCAAAACGAAGCAAUGGCUUUGAACGCCAAAUGGAAAACAAUGGCUCUAAACGCCAAACUAAACUGAAUAACCAUGAACGUCAAGCUGAGAAGGACGACUCUGAACGUCAUAACAAGAAAGGCACGAAAACUCUGAACACCAAACUGAAAGGGAAUGAUGGGAGGAAAUAUGCCCUAGUGUAGCGUGUCACCACAACUCUCGAUCCAUCGGAAGGGUCUAGAAGAGACUCCAUAAGUCUCGAAAGAUGCUCGACUAGUGAGUCAGGAUGAUCAAACCAAAUGAUCCAAUAAGGAGCCCCCAGAGAAAACGAUCUGAUAGGGUAAUCACUGUGAUCUCAAUACAACCCUCUACCGAAGAAUCAUGGAUAGCGAGGCAGUCGCAACCCGAACAUCAUGCUACACUAAAAGCUCAUCUCGAUGAAUAUCGCCAAAAUAGUGACCCAUGAAGCAAAUACGAUAUCUCUCGAUCAAAUGAUGAAAACUGUAACAGAUCCGUGACAGAACGACCAUCUCCAUAGCUGAAGGAAGGAAAUAUGCCCCAGUAUGGCAUCAGAUGUAUCCGAUCUGUCCUGAUGACUCAUGAAUAACUCGAUAGGGAUGCAUAGAAGAUCUAACAUGUGAUCCGAUGAAAUGAUGAUGUGAGGGUCCACGAGCCUGAGAUGACUCCAUCCAAAAAUCGUAAUGAUAUCAUAAAGUGUGAACCCGAUGAAACGACUCAAGGAAAAGUCCAUCUGAGAGUCAUGACAGAAUGAAACCGAAUCAUCAACCCGACACAUCUCGUAACUGAGGGCGAUCACGCAAAAGCGGCAAAUCUCGAUCGAGAGUGAAAAUAUGCCCUAGUAUGGCAUCAAAUGUGUGACAAGUCAGGAAAUUCAAAUGACGUCGAAUCAUGCAUCAACAGAUAUGUAAUCUCGGUCAUCCGAAUCCAUAACAGCAUCACGCUCAUCAAGCUAAGAUGCAUCUGUCAGAUAGAGGGGCAAGAUGGCAUCUGAGUGCCGAGAAGUGCGUGCCUAACUGGAUGACUCCCGAGAGGCUCCACUGAGGAAUCAUCGUAACAAUAGCGAACAAAUCAUCGUCUCGGCACGUACUCCAUAAGUGGGAACGAUCAUGUAACUCUUUGGAGAUCUCCAAACCUCAUCCGAAAUGGAAAGAUGCCCCAGUGUGGCAUCAAAUAUACGAUAAGUCGGAAAUCUGGUAAUACAGAGUCAUCUAUCAUCGGACAUGUGAUCUCUGUGAUCCAAAUCAAAUCCAAACAUCCAGGGACCAUCUCUCAGAAUAGAAAGUAUGAAAACAACUCGAUGUCGAGAAAUGCAGACCUGGAUGAGUGGCUCCACCGAGGGAUCAUCAUAAAAUAGUGAAAACGUCAUCGUCUCAGCGCAUACCCCACAAGUGGGGAUAGCAACUCCGUGAAGAUCGACAAAUCUCAUCCAAAACGGAAAUAUGCCCCAACAUGGCAUCAGGUGUAUAGUAGGUCUGGCUGAAUGGCCCCAAAGAGGCUCCACUGAAGGAUCGUCAUAAAAUAGCGACCACCCCAUCAUCUCAACACCUAUAUCGUAAAUGAGGAUAAGCAUGCAAACCCGUGAGGAUCUGUAAAAUCAUAUCUGAAACGAAAAUAUGCCCCAGUAUGGGCUCUGAACGCCGAUAUUGAGAAGUGAUGGCUCUGAACGCCGAAACUGAGAAGUGAUGAUAGCUCUGAACGCCGAGACUAGGAGAAUAAUAGAUCUGGAAGCCAAAUCAAAAAGCUAACUCUAAACACUAAACUAGAAGAAUAAUGGCUCUGGAAGCCAAACCAAAAAACUAACUCUAAAUGCUAAACUGAGAAAAUAAUAGCUCUGGAAGCCAAACCAAAAAGCUAACUCUAAACACUAAACUAGAAGGCCCAUAGGUGAAGACCUACGGUGGUGAUAAAUCUGAAACAAAGAGGGAUGCCCUAAGCAAACUGACGGUAGGGGAAAGCCCUAAACAAGAUGAAAAUAUGGGGAUGUCCUAAACGAAAUGACAGUGGGGGAUGCCCCAAACGUAAAUGACAGUGGGGGGAUGCCCCAAACGUAAAUGACAGUGGGGGAAUGCCCCAAACGUAAAUGACAGUGGGGGAUGCCCCAAACGAAAUGACAGUGGGGGGAUGCCCCAAACAAAAAUGACAGUGGGGGGAUGCCCCAAAACGAGAAUGACAGUGGGAGGAUGCCCCAAACGUAAAUGACAAUGGGGGGAUGCCCCAAAACGAGAAUGACAGUGGGGGAUGCCCCAAACGAAAUGACAGUGAGGAGAUGCCCCAAACGAAAUGACAGUGGGGGGAUACCCCAAAACGAGAAUGACAGUGGGGAGAUGCCCCAAACGAAAUGACAGUGGGGGGAUGCCCCAAAACGAGAAUGACAGUGGGGGAAUGCCCCAAACGAAAUGACAGUAGGGGGAUGCCCUAAACAAGGUGACAAUAGAGGGAUGCCCUAAACAAACUGACGGUAGGGGGAUGCCCUAGGUGAUAACUCGCAAAGAUCGACAAAUGCGUUUGUCAAUCAUGAAAUCAACACGAGGCAUGGCAAACCCAAAGAAAGGGGUGUAUGACCCAGUAAGAAAAGCGCUAAAGGGGUAUGCCUCGAUAUGAUGACUCACAAAGAUCAAGAAAUAGAUCGAGUAGUGAGAAAGUACACAAAAGACUUGAUAAACACAAGGAUGGGGGGUAUGCCCCAGUGUGAUGACCCACAAAGAUCAAGAAAUAGAUCGAACAAUGAGAAAGUCCGCAAAAGAUCUGGUAAACUCAAGGAUGGGGGGUAUGCCCCAGUGUGAUGACCCACAAAGAUCAAGAAAUAGAUCGAAAAGUGAGAAAGUCCGUAAAAGAUCUGGUGGACUCAAGGAUGGGGGUAUGCCUCAAUGUAAAAUAGUAACCAAGAUAAGGCGCAGAAUGUCAUCAAACAAGACACUCUAGGAUAUGCUCAAUGAUGAUGCAACGAAAAAACACAUACAUAGCCUCAAUGAACAAAUGCUAAAACAAGUCCAAGCAUCACUGAAACUAUGCUGACAAAGCAAAACUAAAAUAAUGGAUCAAACAAAUGCUGACCAAAACUCUAGGUCUGAAAUGUAAGCAAAUCAAGACACGACGUGUCAACUAUCAAUAUGAGAACAUCAUCACAAAUACAUCAUCAAUCUAACAGGCGCUACCAUCACGGAAGAUGUUGAACCUAAUGUCCAAAGACGUGUGGAAACUCAACUAGAAAGCUCAAGACUUGUCCAUAUCUUCCUCUGAUCAAGAUAAGAGGAUAAGGUCGUGUAAGAUGGUGGAAUAUACGGGCUCAAAAGAUGUAAGGCUCUGAUAAGAUGAGUGUAGGUAUAACAGAGUCCAAUGUAGGAUGUAUAGGUGUGUAACAAAGGAAAGUGGGUACCCAAGUCGGACCAAGUACGUCGGGAAGAUUGAACCCAGGGUGCCAAUGACUCUAUAAUCCAUCGAGAGCAGCAAUCAUCAACAGGAAGUGGAGUCUCAAUGUCAAAAUCAGCAAGGUAGGUAUGCCCCAGUAUGAAUGCAUCAUCUCAAAAUGGGUAAGUCCUCAGUGCAAGAUAAACCCUGGGAAGUAUGUGUCUGGCAUAAACUGUCAUCUCACAAAAUCAUCAUCGAUGAGUGGGCUAUGCCCCAGUGUAAGCAUCUCUGAAUCAAACAUCAAUGAGAGGAGUACAACCAAUCAUACAUCAUCUGAUCAAAAUGAACAUCUGCUCAUCAAAGCCAUCGUGGUAAUGUGAAGAGAAUAUCUGACCUCCCCAAAAAAAAAGAGCAUGUCCCAAUGUGAACUGAUAUCUCUAAGAUCAACCGCCAAUGAAAGGGGUAUGCCCCUGUGUAAAGUACACCAGAUGAAACGCGCCAAUCAUGUCUCAUGCUCCAAUGUGAAAAAGGACAUCUGAUAUCCUCCCAGGAAGAGACAUGGCUCAAAAAUCCGUCAUCGACUGAGAAGAGUAUGUCUCGACAUAAUGGUCAUCCGAUAAUAAAACUCUCUGAGAUGGCUAUGCCCCAAUGUAAGGUCAUACCCUAACUCCCGGUCCAUCACCAUCAGAAUGCUCUCGAAUCAAUCCCAAGUACCGCUCACAUAAGAGCUAACAAACACAAUGCAUGAUGGGUCAAAAGAACCAGAUGAGUUCAGAUCACCCGUCAUCGAAUGCGCGAUCCAAAUCAUCCACGUGUACAACUGAAUCAGACCCAUAGAUCAAAAGGGCGUCUCUCGGAAGGAAAACAUGAUGACAUCGAAGCGUCGCGAAGUGCAGGCCUAACUAGGUAACUCUCGAGAGGCUCCACGGAGGAAACAUCGUGUCAAUGUGUAUCUCGUAAGUAGGGAUGAGCAUACAACUUCAUGAAGGUCCGUAAAUCUCAAUCGAAACGGAAAUAUGCCCCAGUAUGGGCAUCGAACGUAUGACAGGUCAGAAAUCGGGCGACAUGAAAUCGUUUAUCAUCGGUCAUGCGACAUAAGUGAAGAUCCAUAAAUCACAUCUGAAACGGAAAAUAUGCCUCAGUAUGACAUCAAGUGCGCGACAGGUUCGAAUGACAAAUGUCAUGAAAUCAUCUAUCGUCGCACAUGUAACACUGGUCAUCCGAAUCCAUAACUGAAUCAUGCACAUAUAUCCAAGAUGUCCUCCCAGAUGAAGAAGCAUGAUGGCAUCCAAGCGUCGAGAAGUGCGGACCUGGCUGGGUGGAUCUCAGAGGCUCCGUAAGGUAACGAUCAUGUCCAUGUCUCGGUGAGCAUCCAGUAAGUGAUGAUCGUGCAAGUCCGUGAGGAUCCAUGAACCUCCAAAUGAAAUGGGAUAUGCCGAAGUGUGGCACCAGAGGUAUGAUAGGUCAAAAAAAUCAGGUGACACCAAGUCAAUCAUCAUCAAACUCACGAUCCCGGUAAUCCGAACACAAUUGAAUCAGUCCUACACAUCAAAGGGGCGACUCCCAGAAGAAGAAGCAUGACAAUAUCUAAAUAUCAACCAGAUCUCAAUCGCCUGUCCAAGUAGAGGCUGCCGAAGACGACAUCUGAUCCCAUGGCCUCAAGGUGGUCUUAAGACACGGGACGUAACGUAGGCCAAGGUGAUAGGGUGAUAGAAACGAAAGAAAACUAGGCUCAAAUACCCAAUGAUCAAAACUCAUGCCCUCAUAUAUGAAAUGCAACAUGUAUAGUGAACUCCAUGAGCCAUGGACCUGAGAAUGCCUAACGUGAAUAUGAUAUCGAUAAGGAGACAAAUGAAGCAAAAUGAACUGAUAGUGAUAUGCGUAAUGAUGAUGCGAAGUGAGCAUCGAACCCGAAAUGGGUCGCUGUAAGGAGAGAAUAAGACGUGAAGGGAAUGAGAUGAAUCACAAGCAACGAUAAAAGCGACAGCGAAACAACGAAUAUGUGAAGAAAGGUGGUGAUCGACUCAGAUCAAACAUGAAGUGAAGUCACAUCAAUAAUGAAUGUAAUGAUGGAAAGGACAAUGACUCAGAGUCCUUAGGAGAAGGUCACUCAUCUCUCUCACAAAUAGAUAUGACGAAGCAAUACAAAUAACAUGGGAUCUCAGAGAGUUCACAUACGAACUCCCAAUAACGAACAUACUCGAUAAAAAUGACCCCCAGACGUCAAUAUACAUACCCAAUGAUCGAGAACACUAUGCACAUACACACAUGUGCUAAUAAUAAUAAUUUUCUUUUUCUCUUUCUUUCUUUCUUUCUUUCUUAACAAAUGAACCCCAAAGAUGAUAUCGAUAACAAAUGGACACACCCCCAAGUGCUAAGGUAACAAACAAACUCUCUCUGACAAGAUGACCUUCUCAAACUAAGGAUCUCUAAACCAGUGUCCGCAAGAUAGAUGGUGGAAAUGAUGUGACUACCCUCCAUGUGAUGAACUGAGAAGGCUCACCACUCAGGGUGGAGAGAAUAUGAAACCGAAAAAUAGUAGAUAGGAUAAGGAAGAAGAGAUGAAUAACACAACCAACAAGAUGAGAUGAAAAUGCAGAGGUGUAGUGAUAGGAAAAGAUAAUGAGAAAAAUGUGCUCCUAGGUCCAAGGCUCAUGAGACCCCCAAACAAUGCAUGCAUACAUUAAAGGGCCCCUAUUUCGAUGUGAAAAUGUGAGCAAGGCGAUAAGAAAGAAAGGCUAUAAUUCGCAUUGCGAGGCUCAAUGGGCUAGCAACGGACUAUGUAUCAAAAAAGGGAAUAACAAGGUAUAUAGCUAACCGAAAUGAUGGCCACCCAUCCUGCGACCAUGGUCUCAAACAUAGUACCUCUUUAGCCGAUCCACAUUGGUCGGCUCUGAGAGUCGGUUUCCAUCUAAAUCCAUCAACCAUGCAGCGCCUUCUGAGGUGAACUCCCUGAUGAAAUAAGGUCCGCUCCAGUUGGGUCUGAACUUCUCUCUAGGAUCAUGUAUCAACCGUACUCCGAACGCUCCAUAAUAAUCUCAAAGAUGAUCCUCUCAAAGCAAAGUGAAUGGUGAUCUCAUCAGGCACGACUGCCCAUCAUAAGCCAACUCUCAUCAUACAAUAUCAACCUCUGUACUCACGGAAAAAAAAAAAUGACAGUCUCAUCAAGCAAUCGACCAAUCCUCACAUCGUAAGCCACCCAAAGAUCAUAAGCCAACCCUCGCCAUGCGAGAUCAACCCUGGGCUCAAACUCCUCAUACUCUACCUGGUCGAAUCAGAGAGGGGAUGUGUAAAGCUAGAAAAAACCAAGGAUGGGAAGGUCAUAUAAUGGUCUCAAGGGUAGUGCUGUGCAAAGCUCACAAUGGAUGGAUGUAGGUCAAAACAGAGUCAAAGUGCGGGAAGUGAGCAAGGCACUGCUCUGAUCAUAAGAAGCUGUGUCACAGUCUCGAACUCCCUAAGUCAAAUCUCUGAUCCUAGGCUAAUAAGCUCAAUAUCCUCCAUGAUAGGUCAAGCCUCAAGACCACAAUGUGCAAGUGAAGAGAUGCCUCAAGUAAAAAGAACAACACAUCAUAUCACAAAACACAAGCAUAUGUCCAUAAAGGAAAAGACAUCCAAUGGGAUAACCGAUGAGUAUAUCAUGCAAAAGAAAGAUAACAAAGACAAUACUCAAGAAUCGAGUUAUAGUCUCUAAAAGUCAAAAGUAAAACAAGACUAAACAAACAAAAACAAAAACAGUGACUGGUCCUGUCAUCACAUCGGUCGAAAAUCGAACCAAGGACCAAACAAAGAAUGAGGUACUGAGCCCGUGAUAGGUGUGCAGUGUAAAAAGAUGAUCAAUGAACAUAUCCUAAAGUAUUGAGUGAGUGAUAAUCAAAGUGAAGGGGUGUGUCGAGCCAAGAAAUGGGAACGAAAACCCUAGAGAGAAAACAUGCUAAACUCGUCAAGUGAAAAACACAAACUAAGGCGACCAGACGAAGGUGAUCCAACCGAUACUCAAACUCAUACCGAUCUCCGAACACUCUCAACUGGAGACUAAAAAGAGGGAAUACUGGAUCUAAACUGUAACUAAAGAGGCUCUGAAGGCCCUCAGAUGCACCCACGUGUAGGGAGGGAGUCCUAAUCGAAGGAUCUACAGCUUAACCUACGAGGUCAAGGUGGCUCUAAAUGGGUAUGGGUGGACUUUAAAGGAUCCCUAGCAGAAGCGAUCAUACCCUCCGACGGUACGCAACCCUCUGCACGCCUCCAAAGAGACGGGGCGCUUCCACGUAAGGUGGUCAUCACCUCCACACGUGCACUACCUCGACAUCCUAGGGAGUUUCCUAUGGUGAAACCUUUCAAACUCUUAACUCUCAAUAGUCAACUAGAGUGCACAAUGAAUGGUGUGGGUGCAUCCGAAAACCCUAAGAAGCUAAAGCAGGAAGGGAAACACACUGGCCGCACAAAUAUCCAUGAAACCUAGCUCGGGGCUACACAGGUCUUCAAUGAUCGGACUCCAAUCUGCAUCAACGUGUCGCUCUCCUCCAGAAUGCUCCCAAACAUCGGUAUAGCCCGUCGCUAGACCCUAUUCCUAACCUCUAUCUCGGUCAGAGUACAAGCACACACAAGGCCUCACACUUGCAAAAGUGAGAACCAGAAUGAAGGAAAUGACUGAGACUAGAGAGUCGGAGAUAAGGGGAUAGAUGUGCUACCCACAUAGACAAGCAACAUACAAUCACGCAGAGAAGGGCAGUCAUGCAGCACACAAUCAGGCAAAGCUCAGAGAUAUCAUCAUGUACACACAAGAUAAGCGAGAAUACGACAAUUAAGACGAAUAGUGAUACAAACAUCAUGCUCAAAGACGAUCAAAAUAGUAUACAAGUCACAUAAUCAACAUGUCAAGCUGAGUGAUGUACAGUGGUGAGUGUAUGCAUGUGAAGUGAUCAGAACAAUCAUGGCAAAAUCAGAGUCAAUAUGCUAAGCAAGGCAAUAAGAUCAAUCAAUAUAAUCAGCAUGUCAAUAUCUCAAACGAAUAUAUCAAUGAAGCACAGGAGAAAACACGGCAUCGGAAUCCUCAAUCAAGACAAAUCAGUCAACAUAAUCAACAUGUCAAAAUCCCAAAUGGAUAUAACAUCUAAGCAUGCAUCAAAAGCUCUCAAUGUGCAAUCAAGAAAUGAGCAUCCACUGAUCGUCCAAUCGAAUGCCACGUUUGCUUCACUCUAAGUUCAAGUUUGACCCUCUAAAUGAUCCCCAGUGGAGUCGCCAUUUUGUGGACCCCGCAUUUCGGCUCAAUGCGUUUCCCACUCGAAUGGCGAACUUGAUUUUUGUUUUCGAAAAAUGAUAUUUCUUGAUUAAUAAAAAUUGACUUGGAGUCGCCACUUAUUUUUGUUUUAUUUUUAAAGGGUAACAAAAUAAGAAAGAAAACCCUAAGUGCGACUCCUUGUUUUGGAAAAGGUGGUCUACGAAAAACCUGAUCAGGCUCGAGGGUCAGGUUACUUAUCAGGAAGGUACGGUACGGACCAUAGCACCCCUCUAAGUCCCUAAAGUCGGGUCUCUACUAAUACAAUGAAACUGACGUGGCAAUCAACGAGAAAGUCAAUGGAUACUCACCUAAAUCAUGCACAAUAUGGGAAUCAAAACAUGUAAUAGAGAUUGACUAGAAUGAGAGUGGAUGCGUACCUCGGCCACGAGCCACAAUGCGCUAUCAAGAAACGGGAUUAGCGCACAAUUAAUGAAUACAAAAUAUAGCUCAUACAUAUCGAAGUGCAAAAUGAAGAUCAGACAAAAUACAUCAAGUGCAACAGUUGACAAUCGAAAGGGAUCAAACAUUGGGCCCGCACCAAAGCCCAAUUUAUGGUUCAUGAAUUAAUGUUACAAAUUUCGUGUUCUAGAAUUAUGAAUAAUUUAUUUUUGUUUAUGUAGAAUCAAGAAGAUUAGAAGAUUAUUUAAGAACCGAAAUGGAAUUAAAACUUUUCGAGUGAAAACUGGAUUCUUGGAGUUUAUUGGAAAAUUGGAGUCUUGGGAAUUAAAUUUAGAAGAUUAGAGCUUCAGUUAUUAAAAUGAAAUUUGCCAAAGAAAAUGAGAAAUGAACUUUAGGGAAUUAAACUGCAAGGACAUAGAUUUUGAAAGUUGAAUUUGUAAUAAUAAUAAUAAUAAGGAAUGAACUUUAGGAAAUUGAACUGUGAGAAUAUAGAUUUUUAAUAAUAAUAAUAAUAAUAAUAAUAAUAAUAAAUAAUGAUAAUAAGAAAUGAGCUUCACGAAGUUGAACGGCUAGAGUAUAGAUUUUUAAUAAUAAUAAGAAGUGAACUUUAGGAACUUAAAUUGCGAGGAUAUAGAUUUUUAAUAAUAACAAUAAUAAUAAUGAUAAUAAUAAUAUUAGGAAAUUGAAGUGAGAGAGAGUAUAGAUUUUUAAUAAUAAUACUAAUAAUAAUGAUAAUAAUAAUAACCAUAAUAAUAAUAAUAACAAUAAAUGAUAAUAAUAAUAUGGAUAAACAAAAGGGAUUAAAAGGGCUUUGGAAUUAGAAGGGCCUAGGAUGAUAACAAUAAUGAUAAUAAUAAUAAUGAGGUUUUGAAAGUUGAAUUAAUAAUAAUAAUAAUAAUGAGAUUUUUGAAAAGUUUGGAUUAAUGAUGAUAAGAGUAAUAGUAAAUAGGUGAUGAAAGUGUGAAUUAAUAACAAUGAUAAUAAUAAGGUUUUUGAAAGUUUGGAUUAAUGAUAAAUGGGUGAUGAAAGUUGAGUUAAUAAUAAUAAUAAUAAUAAUAAGAUUAUGGAAGUUUGGAUUAAUGAUAAUAAUAAAUGGGUUUUGAAAGUUGAGGUAAUAAUAAUAAUAAUAAUGAGAUUUUUGAAAAGUUUGGAUUAAUGAUGAUAAGAAUAAUAGUAAGUAGGUGAUGAAAGUGUGAAUUAAUAACCAUGAUAAUAAUAAGGUUUUUGAAAGUUCGGAUUAAUGAUAAAUAGGUGAUGAAAGUCGAGUUAAUAAUAAUAAUAAUAAUAAGGUUUUUGAAAGUUUGGACUAAUGAUAAAUGGGUGAUGAAAGUUGAGUUAAUAAUAAUAAUAAUAAUAAUAAUCUACAUUAAGCCCAAGUCUAAAAGCCUAAGCCCAUGUCCAUCUCAUUAAAAAGAGCCCAUCUCCAUCAAGCCCCAAAUCUAUCAGCCUAAGCCCAUGCCCAUAAGAUAUCAACGGGCAAGCCCAAGGCAAUUAAAGCCUUCAUAAACGUGGGCUUCUCUUCAUAGGCUUGGGCCUGGGUUCCAAGUUCAAAACCCAAGCCCAAAACCAUCAUGGGCAAAACAGCCCAUCUCUUCACCAUCUGUCUCUCCACCCGCGAAGUCUCCACCGGCGGCACGAUGAAGAGGAGAGUCGUGGCAGCGCAGGGAAAAGAGGAGCAGUGGCGGCGCGGGCAAGAGGGGAACCGUGGCGGCGAUCCGGUGACGUUCAGAAGGUGUUGCCGCCAUGGUGGCUGGUGCAGGUGCACGCGUAGCCGGAGCAGGUGGUGGCGGUUUGUUGACGUUAAGAAGGUGUUGCCAGUUCAGGGAGCGUGAAGGAUGACGACACCACGCGUGCAUGGGAGGUUGUGAUACUCUCCAGGCCGCCGACAAACGCGCCUCUAAUGAAGACGGGGGGGAGUGAUGGCGGAAGCAGCUUGCAUGUUCGGACCCCAUGCGUGUAGAAGGGCGGCUUUGGAAGCUCUCGCGGGGAUAGGUAUGGCGGUUGGAGGGAGAAAAGGUAUGGCAUCAAGGAUCUUAGGUGGUUUAACUAUGGUAGAUAUAGCUUCCUCUGUCAUCGAUGGGUGGACUGGUAGAAAGGUUCGGGUCCAAUGCCAUUGGGUUGGCAUGAAGCGCCCGAAGUAACGGAGAAGCUCAUUCAUUGAGAGGCCAUGGAUGAGCACGCUGUAAAUCAACACUGACUGUGCCAAUUUUCUCUUCUUCAUCUCAUCCCGUAAUUCACAAGCACAAGUCAUGUUCUAUAUCCCCCAUUUCAUGAACCGAUAAACAUAAAAAAAAUAAUACAAUCCAACUAGUAGAGUAGGAAUCACAUAGUAUGAAAUAUAACGAGUAUGAAGAGCGAAAAUACACAGGAAAAACCAUGAUAAACGUACCUAAAGAUGAUCCCCUCCAGCUAGGUUCCCCCGAGAAAAAUCCAUCAGCCCCCUUUUUUUUCUUUCUGUCUCCCCUCUUUUUUUUUUUUUCCUUUUCUUUUCUCUUCUUCUUUGUUCUCCUUUAGCUUCUCCCCCAAGCCAUGUCCGUAUCCUGUCCCAUCUGCCGCCUGAGAGCAGCCCACUUCAGUCCCCUUUUUCUCUGCCCCCAAAAACAGCUCUCCCAUCAUGUCAAACGGCUCGGGAAAAAAAAAAGGUAGGAAAAAUAAAAAAAUAAUAAAAAAACUGCUUGCUUCCGGGGGGGUCUACAAUAGUACUACACAAUAUUACCUAUAAAAAUUAUGUAAUAAAUAUGAAGGUGUACAUAUAAAAUGAUAUAGAAAUAUAAAUAGUAAAUAAUUAAUGAAAUGAAUUUAAUAUUAAAAAUAUGGGCUAUGAAAUUAUCUUAACAAACAUGAUUAAUGUAUUUAAUGACUUAAUAAAAUUAUCAAGUAAAGAAAUUCUUCAACAAACUUGGAGAACGACAUGAAAUGAGAAUGAGCCAUUAUUUGUCCAACAACCAAUAUAAACGGAGGAAAAACAAAAUUUAAAAACAAGAAACAUGUGCUGAUAAACUACGAAAUAACCAAAAUUUAAGUUCAAUACAUUGGAAUUUUAAUUGGAAUGAAAUGCAUAAUUACAUGUCCCGAAACGUAUAUGAUACUAUUUGAUGAAAAUAGUUACAAUGUAAAAACUUAAAAGAAGGUUGGUAUCUUAUUAUCCAACUCUUAACAUAGAUUGGCCCAUUGUGUAUCCCAGUUUGUUCACCAUCACAUACUGGGGCAUACCCUCCUUUCCUGGAUCAUCGGACCUUCCGUAGGUUUCAUUCACUUUUGAUCUAGUUGUUGACUCCCUGAGAGUUGCAUACUGAGGCAUACCCUCCUUCCCUAGGAUCAUUAGACCUUUCACAUGCUUCAUUAUCUUUCGACCUAGUUGUCGAUCCUCAUGAGUUGUCAUACUGGGGCAUAUCCCCUCCUGUCGAGUUUGCUUGCAUCGUCAUCUUAGUAUCAUCUGGCUUUGAGUCACUCAAUCAGAUCAUCAUCAUCAUCAUGUCAGUUCAGUUCGAGUCGGGACCGCACCUAUAUCAAUCGAUCAUCAUCGUGUCGGUUUGAGUCGGGACCGCACCUAUAUCAAUCGGUCAUCAUCGUGUCAGUUUAAGUCGGGGUCGCACCUAUGUCAAUCGGUCAUCUCCUUGUCAUGUUAUCGAGUUUUCGGGACCGCACCUAUAUCGAUCGGUCAUCAUCCUAUUAGUCAGUUUGAGUUCGAGUCGGGUCCGCACCUAUAUCGAUCGGCUAUCUCUCUGUCAUGUCAGUUUUCGAGUCGAGACCGCACCUAUAUCAAUCGGUCAUUCGUCGUGUGAGUCGAGUCGGGACCGCACCUAUAUCAAUCGGUCAUUCGUCGUGUCAGUCUGAGUCGGGGCCGCACCUAUAUCGAUCGGUCAUCUUCCUAUCAGUUCAGCUUGUGUUUUCGGGACCUCACCUAUAUCAAUCGGUCAUUCGUCGUGUCAGUCUGAGUCGGGGCUGCACCUAUAUCGAUCGGCCAUCUUCCUAUCAGUUCAGCUUGUGUUUCCGGGGCCGCACCUAUAUCGAUCGGCCAUUUUCCUAUCAGUUCAGCUUGUGUUUCCGGGACCGCACCUAUAUCGAUCGACCAUCUUCCUAUCAGUUCAGUUCGAGUCGGGACCGCACCUAUAUCGAUCGGUCAUUCGUCGUGUCAGUCUGAGUCGGGGCCGCACCUACAUCGAUCGGUCAUCUUCCUAUCAGUUCUGUUUGAGUCGGGGCCGCACCCAUAUCGACCGGCCAUUUUCCUAUCAGUUUGUGUUUAGUUUGAGUCGGGACCGCACCCAUAUAGAUCGGUCAUUCAUUCUUCCUAUCAGGUCAGUUCGACGUCCAGGUCUUUGUUUCAGUAUGACAUUCAGAGUCACUUUCCUCACCUGGCUACUCUGGUGCUUAUUGCUUAUUCAUCAGGCUCUUCUAGAUUUCCCCUUUCACUGCACAUGACAUAGUUCUUUGAGUUCGUGACACAUACUUUUGUCAUGUUAUUGGGCACCCUACACUCGGCAUUCUCGUAUAGCUCGCCUAGGGCAGUCUCCUUUGAGCGUAGUCUUUUCUAUAUUCCAGUGUGGUUCGACCGUUACUCAUCUUUGACAUCGAUUUUCGAGUCACUUUUAGAGAUAUCUUAGAAGGAGCCUGGAUUCUUAGUGUGGCUCCAGAGGCAUUUUGAGACAUCUCUCUCUUUUAGGAUUAAAGACCUUGUUGUUCAUUUUGCUAGCCUGAGUGAGUUUAUAUCUCACUAGUGUCCCUAUGGGGGUCUCCUUGGUUCUUCGGUAGAGUUCAGUUCAUUGCACUCACUAUUCACACUUACUUUUCACUCCAGUGUUCAUGUUCCUUACACUCGUGAACUCUACCGAAGAGGGACAUAUUUGUAGACCCCCUUUAAAGAGCUAAGGGGUAUUUAGUUUUAUAUAUAUAUAUAUAUAUUAGAGGAGCUGGCAGCACCCGAGAAGUGUGGGGGGGACCCCUCUCCAUGCGUGGGACCAGCUGCAAGAGACGCCAUGCUGCUAAUGAAGGAAGCCAUGCUGCCGACUGCUGAAAAAUAGAGAAGCAGGUGAUGGCUUGCCCGGGAAGGUAGGAACCGACUGGAGAGAAAAAGGCUGGGCUUGCCAAAGAAGAAGAGGGCAGGCAACGGCUGAAAAAAAAAAAAAAAAAAAAAAAAAAAAGGAACCUUGAGAGAUUUCUUUUCCGAGAACAGCCGCAUGAAGUGAAGGAAGAAAAAAAGUGAUCUGGAGAAGGGCACCAAGGGAAGAAAAGAGAAAGCUGGCUGGAGAGGGAGAUAGCUUGAGCUGGGUGAAAGAGAGGAAAACGGGUGGCAGUUGGGAGGAUUCUUUGAAGAGAAAAAAAUCUGGAGAGCAGAACAGAGGAACGGGAAGAGAGAGAGAGAGAGAAGCUGGGAAAGAGGGGUUGAAAAAGGAUUUUCAGCAAAAGGGAUUUUCGGGAUUUUCCAGGUGCGAAUCAGAGAGCAUAUUUAACUGAUUCGUGAGUUGCAUUGACUGAGCUAUAGUUCAUUUCGUUUUCUUCAUUUUGGUGUUGUUGGAAUUAUUUUUGUCUCUAUUUUAUUUGAGUUUGAUGCCCGAAAUCAUGCUUUUCACUUCUAUUAAUUCCACCCACCUUGGCCACGGAUGUCGCCUGAAAAUGGGUCUCUCCAUCCAUAACCAGUCAUGCCCAGAAAUUUCAGCGUUGUUUCAAAAAAAUCAGAAAAUGGGCUUCUCUACUGUGAAGGUCUCUAGCAAAGGUUGAAGCAAAAACAAAUAAAAAAACAAAAAAAAAAACAAAAAGUCAACAAAGUAGUACACAACCCAUUAUAAAAUAUUGAAGCCCGCAGACAAUGGACCCAUUUUCUUUUUUUAUUAAAUGCUCUCAUCUCUUUCUUAAUUUCCACUUCACGUUUUCAAAUAAAAUUUUUAAAACUUAGGUUUUUAAAUCUAAUUUCCAAAAUCUCAAUUCUCAACUAAUUUUUCAGAAAUUCCAAAUUGUUUUCAAAUAAGUUUUAAAACUCCAAUUUCCAAAUUUAAUUUCCGAAACUUUAAUUCUCAAAAUCUAAUUUUCAAAUCCAAUUUUUCGGAAUUCCAAUUUCCACAUUAUUUAAUUAAUCAUUAUUACUUUCAUUAUUAUUAUAUCCAUUUAUUUGUUGAUUCAUUCAUUUUUAAAAGAAUUCCAUUUUUAAAUAAUCCCUCAAAAUUCCAUUUUUCACAUUUCUUUAUCUAAUCAUUAUUAUUUUCGCUAUUGUUAUUAUUUUAUUCAUCUUAAUUAUUUAUUUUUGAAAAUUCCAUCUUUAAAUAAAUUCCAAUUUUUAAAUAAAUCCAAUUUGUGAACUUAACUUCCAAAAUUCCAAUUCUUAAAUUUAAUUCCUAAUACUCCAAUUUUCAGACAAAUUUCAAAAAUCCAGUCUUUACCCGAACAGUUUUAAUUCCAUUCCGGUUUUCAAAUAAUCUCAUGUUUCUCUUAAUUUUACAUAAGCAUGAAUGAAUUUUUCAUAAUUCCAUAAUAAUGGAAUCUGUGACAUUAAUUCAUGCAAAAUAAAUGGGUCUUGGUGGGAGCCCGACAUAUAUGAUUUUAUAAUUAAUUGAUUGAUUGAUUUAGUUGCUAUGCAUGAUUGUUUCUAUUCUGCCCUAUGACAUGCUUGAAAUUAUUCUUUAAUUGUGCACUAACCCCCUCUAUUGAUAGCGCAUGGUGGCUCGUUGCCCAGGUAUGUACCCAUUUUCCUCUAAUCGUUGUCUAUGCAUGUCUCGAUUUUUUAUGUGUGCAUAAUCAUUCAGGAUAUUCAUUGAUUUACUCGUCAAUUGCCACGUCAGCUUCAUUUUAUUAGUAGAGACUCGACUUUAGGGGCUUAGAGGGAUGCUACGGUUUUUACCGUACUUUCCCGAUAAGUAACCUGACCCCGAACCCGAUCCGGUUUUUCACAGACCAUCUUUUCCAAAAAAAAGGAGUCACAUUUAGGGUUUUUCUUUCUUAUUUUGUUUACCUUUUAAAAAUAAAACAAAAAUAAGUGGCGACUCCAAGUCAUUUUCUUAAUAAAUAAAAAUCAUCAUUUUUCAAAUAAAAAUCAUCAUUUUUCAAAUAAAAAUCGAGCUCUCCAUCGAGUGGGAAACGCAUUGAGCAGCUGAAAUGCAGGGUCCACACCUUCUUAUCAAUUUUGAGACUUAAGUAACAUGUUUUUUGGUUGAAUAAAAAAAGUCAAAAUAUUUGACUUUUUCUAUUUAGCCAAAAAACAAACACCACCUUAAUCUGAGUGUUGGGCUUAAUUCUGUAACAUAUAUGGAUCAUUUGUUAAUUUUUGGGCUCUGUAGGCCCAAAACACAAUUCUCCCUUAAGUGAAUGGUAGAGGAAAAGUGUCUUUUCUCUCUGCCACCCAAUGGAUUGAUGUGAAUUGUGGAAGAAAGUUUCUCCUUGUUUUGUAUUCAUCGAAAUGCACGUGACCAUGUGACAAUGUCAGAGUAUACAGUCUGAAUUGUUGAAGUCUUUUCUCCUUAUUUUGUAUUCAUCGAAAUGACCAUGUGACAAUGUCAGAAUAUACAGUGUUUCUUCUUUGUUUUAAUCUGCCGUUCAAUCGAUUCCCGUGAAUUAUGGAAAUACAUGAUCAUGUUUUAGUCUGCACGUACUCAAUCAAUUCCAAAAAUAUUCCAAUUGUAUUACUUAUAAAUAACAUUAUUGCAAAACUAUAUAUCAUGUAUAUGUAUUUUAUCAUGAACAUCAUAUUUUCUACAUUGAAGAUUAUCCUCACCACACAAAAACUAAUUUAUUUAUUUUUGGGUACUUUAUGUUGUUUUUUAAGAUGAAUAAUAAAUAUUUCAACUUUAAAGUUUAUUUAAUCAAAUUAAUUUUAAAAUGGCAAAGAAACAAUUUUUAUUUAAAAAAUAAUUCAAUACACUCAAAAUUAAUAAUGAAUUUAUUAAUGCUUCGUCCCUUCUUUAUUAUAAAAAAAAAAUAAAAAAUCAGGUGAAAUAUAUAACAACUUCAUUUCUUUAAAACCUCUUUAAAAUUUCUCAUCUACGAGAAGUUAGAUACAAUAUAACUUUAUUUUUCAUUAUCUUAUACAUUAUUUUUUAAAGAGCAGAUUUCUUUAUCAAAAUUGUGAGGAAAGUGAUUUUUUUUUUCCUUUUAAAUCAUUUAUCUUAGAUAUAAGAAUUCAAUGCAGACAACAUUUUAUGACAAUCUACAACUUAAAAAAUAAUUAGAAAAAAUUGAAUUAAUUGAUUUUUAAGAUAAAAUUUAAAAUUAAUUGAACUAUAAUUUUUUUUUAAAAAUUAUUGAAAUUUAUUAUAAAAAAUAAUAUAUAUUGUUAUAGUAAAAUUUAACUUUUUAUUGUUUAAUUAUGUAAAUAUAUAAUUUAAUACCAUAUAAAUGUUUUAUAGCAAAGAAUUGAUGUGACCUAUACUAAAUAAGGUUGCAAUAUAUUAAUAAACUCAAAAUUAACACAAAGGUUUUUUCCUUUUUCUUUUUUUUUUUUUUUUUCAUUUUUAAGUUUAUUUUAAUGGACUCCGAAGGAACAAAAAGUAAUGUUUUGUUGUUCAAAUAAAAAUUUAAAACUUGAAUGAAAUAAAAUCUAUAAUGAUUUAUUUUUAAAAAAAAAUUAAAACUUUUCCCCGACAAGUUAAAUACAAUAAAAUAUAUUUUUAAAAAUUAAUAUAAUUUCUUUUUAAAGUUGUGAUAUUUGCGAUCUGUAGGUCCUUGUAACAAAAUUAGAAUUUUAUUUAUUCUGAAAAUAUAUUAACAAGUAAUAUAAAAGUGAAAUGGAUUGAGUUUUUACAGCUUUUGAUUGUGUUUAAGUAAAAUAAUUGUUGCAUAACUUUUAUUAUAAUUUGCAAAUAGUUUCGGAUUAUAAGAAUAAUUUUUACAUACCUUUGGACUGCAUAAGAAUUUGCGCAUUGCAUCUACCAAUGAUAGUAUUAAAUGAGAAUUGAAUGUAAUUUUUGGCCAUAACCAAACAAGAUAUUGAAUUCAUUUAUUAUUAAUGCAUUUAUAACAUAAAUGAUUUAUUUACGCUAAAAUUCCCUAAUAUGUUCCAUAGAUUCUUUUUAAACCUUCUAAUUUCAUAUUCCUCUCAUUCUUUCUUUCUUUCUUUCUUUUUCCAUGUUUCUUGAUUCUUUAAUAUAUAGGGAGAAUUAUGUUUUGGGGGUAGAUGGGCCCCCAAAUUAACAAAAGGUCCAUGUAACUCUUCAAAUUGAGCUCAAGACCCAAUGAAAGUAUGGAAAUUGAGUUGAAGGAUAUCAUUCUUCAGUAUUUCCAAAAAUGCCCUUUGUUGAUUUUGAGAAAAAAAAUUAAUAUUUUUGAAAAAUACUUUUAUUUAAUUUAAUAUUUUUUAUUUAAUUUAAUAUUUAAAAAAAAUACUUUUAUGUAAUUUAAUAUUUUUUAAAAUACUUUUAUUUAAUUUAAUAUUUUUUUAAAAUAAAUUUAUUUAAUUUAAUAUUUUAAAAAAAUAUUUUUAAAAAAUAUUUAAUUUAAUAUUUUUUUAAAUACUUUAAUUUAAUUUAAUAUUUUUGAAAAAAAAAUUGAAAAAAAAAAUAUUUAAUUUAAUAUUUUUGAAAACUACUUUUAUUUAAUUUAGUAUUUUUGAAAAAAAAUUAUUGAAAAAAAAUUAUUUAACUUAAUUUUAUAAAAUAUUUUAUAUGUGUUCUUAAAGGGUAUAUUUGUCCGUUACUAUUUCAUAUCCUUCAACUCAAUUUGAAGAGUUACAUGUACCAUUUGUUAAUUUGGGGGCCCAUCUACCCCCAAAAGAUAAUUCUCCCUAAUAUAUAACAUAUCUUCUUCUUCUUUUUUAAUAACUUUUCAUAAAAAUUUAAAUAAUUACUUAUUAAAAAUUCCUAAUAUAUCCCUUAAAUAUUUCUCAUUCUCUUGUAUUACCUCUUGUGGGAGGGUUUUUCCAGUCUAAAAAUUCGAUGUUCCUUGUGUUGAUUUAUUUUUGCCUGCUCAUAUUAGGAUGUUGUCUACUUAUUUCGAUAGUUGGGGGUAUGAAUAAUGCACAAAUUAACAAUUUGUUAAAUAAAAUAAUGUAUGCAUGAAACAAGAAAUAGGAUAAUUGGAAACAUGGAAAAUCAAAGAAUAUUAAAAAAACAGAGAUCCCUAGAAGAAGAGUUCAAAUAAUGUUGUGGCCAUUGUAGAAGACCUUUCCCUUGAGUUUAUCCCUAUGGAUGGGUAUUACAAUUACUUUUUAAUGACGUCAUUUGUAGAUAAGAUGAAGGCCACACUUUAUCGACAACGCAUCAGUCACACCAGACAGUUCAAAGGAAGCCCGAAUGCUAUUCCAUGCCUCUGGGUGGCAAAUAUCGACUCCAGAGCGUGGUUGAUAUGCCAACCACAUGUGGCGAUCAUUUGAUGAAUGCUCACCACUCCACUUGUCCCAGUAGGGAUAGAAAAAUGAAAAAUUGUUCAACUGGCAUAAUAUGUCGUUGUGGAUCUGAGGCAGUUGAUCCUUGAAAGCAAAGACAAAGCAUACAGAAAAUCCUAGGAACUUGUCACGGUCGUACCAAUCUGAAGGCAGCUCCAUUGUUAGUGAAGAACCCAUUUCCCGAUGUUCAAACCAUUCAGGAAUUCCAUCUCCAGGAAUGAGAAUGCAGAACUCACUCUUUGGAGCGUGGUCCUGCCAUGGAAAAUCAUUAGAGAGGGAGAGAGAGAGAGAGAGAGAGAGAGAGAGAGACCUGAAUCCUCUCUAAUAUAGUAUUGUGCAGCGACAUCAUCCGUGCGGUACCUUCCACAACAUAUCUUGAUGAAGCCAAGGAAGUUUGCAGGGAUGCGCAUUCGUGUGCAUCCAGUUCUUCUAGACUUGAUGGAAAUUCCGGAAUUUCUUCGAGCCUCUUGCAACGCCCCAACACAAGAACUUUUAGCAUUGAAAGUUCUGUGAUUCUCCGUGGCACCAUAGUAAAAUGGUUUCCACUCAGAUUUAAGUUUUCCAAUGAAUAUAAGCCCCAAAAAUCAUCGGGUAUUUCUGCAUCCCACCAAUAACAAUCACUUAGAUCUAAUUCCCUUAAGAGGAAUAAACCUGAUAAAGAAAACAAUGAUGGGUGAGCUCUUCCUCCUGUACAUCCACUAAAGGAUAGUAUUUGAAGUUCUCUUAAACGACCAAUUACAGGAGGGGGCGCUCCUGUAGCUGUUCUAUUUGCAUAAAGCUCAGUUAGAUGUUGCAUGUUUCCCAAGUCUUCGGGCAAACAGUUGAGUUCUGAACAGCCACUAAGAUAAAGAGUUUUAAGAGAUUUCAAGUUGCAGAUGCUGUCUGGAAGACUACCCAGUGACUUGCACUCUUUCAAAUCUAACAAACUAAGCCUUCUCAGAUCUCCAAUAGAUGGGUCAAUCUCGCGCAAGCUUGUACAACCUUCAAGAAUUAGUUUCUCCAACUCUGGGGUGCUGGAAAAGUUUGAGACUUUUAUGAGGUAUUUAGAGUGACUGAGAAUGACGGCUGUUAGUUUCUCAAACCGAACCUGUUAAAAAAUAUGUUGCUCGAAUAAAUAAGCUACGAAUAACACAAAGAAAAGGCGCAUAUAAAAGGAGACGUAUAAAGAAAGUAUACAUACCAUAUUCCCUUCCCCAAAUUCUCUUAUGUUGCUAUACGGCAUGUUGAGUUCCACUAGUUUCUGAGUCUCAAAUUUUGAUGGCAAAGAAUUCAAAGGGUAUCCAUGCCAAUGGACAUAGGAUAAAUCCCAUGUAGGAAAUUUAAAAUCCCUAGAAAUGCGCACUUUGUAAUCCUCUUCACCAGUAACAACUUCAGAACCCAAGAAAAUUUUGAGCAAUCGAAGUCCAGACAUCUCUUUCAUUGCUUGAGUAGUUAAAUUUAUGUUGUUUAGAUUCGAUAAAUUUAGGAAUAUGCCUUCAAUUGAAUUGGUUCCCUGUCAAAAGAGCAGAUGAUAAGCAAUAAGCAUAACGUGCAUAUAAUUUUUCCUAGUUGCAUAGAUCAUCGAGGAGCAUUCAUACCGUCCUUUUCUUCAAUACAUCUUUCACAUCCACAUGAUCCCACAAUCGGCUGCGCAUACCUUUGUUCCUGGGACCUUCAUCACGAACGAUUUUAUGACCCAAUCGUUGUAUCAAAUUAUGCAUGCCAACCUUUCCAUUUGAAAUUGUUAGAAGACACCUAUUUAUGAGAAAUCCUAUUCCAGUCUCCGCAGGACAAUCCCAAUCAUCUAGUAUUUUUAUAAUAAAAUCUUUAUACUCUCCCUUAAAUUAGAAACAUGCAAUGUCAAGGAAUAUUGCCUUAUAAGUUGAUGGUAGUCCAUCAAAACUUACUUUAAGCACAUCUAAAAUUUUCAUGUUAGGUUCUUUAUCAAGGUCACGUAACUGAAUUUUCCAUUCAUGGCUUUGCUUUUGGAAUAGACAAGAACCCAAUAUUUUGAGAGCUAAGGGAAGACCUUGACAAUACUCUACGAAUUUUUUGGAAAGAAUAUAAAAAUCAUGAUGUGGAUAACUCGUUUCAAAAGCAUGCCAACUGAAGAGUUCAAGAGCUUCGUCGUUGUUUAAUUCUGGAAGCUGAUAUAGUACAUCCACUUUGUGCUGGACCAGCAAUUCUUUAUUUCUAGAUGUUAUAAAAAUUCUACUUCCUUCACCAAACCAAUCAUGUCCACCAGCUAAGUUUUGUAAUUGCGUCUCAUCAUUCGCACCAUCAAUGACAAGAAGAACCUUUUCACGGCAAAGCAUGUUCUUUAACACAUUAAUUCCUUCAGCAAGAAUCCUUAUUUUUUUUUUGCUUCUGGGUGAGAUAUCACAAAAAAGUUGUUUUUGCAAAUCCAGUAGACGAUGACAGUCUUUGGAAACGUCUCCAGCUACUUCUAGAAAGCUUUUGCUCUUAAAUUGAUAAGAGAGUUCAUUAUAAAUAGCUCUAACCAUUGUGGACUUGCCUACUCCACCAAGUCCACAUAUCCCCACCAUGAGAACAAAUUUUGACUUAUCGCCACUCUUCAACUUCAUUAUUUCAUUCAGACGUAUAUCCAGUCCAACCAGGUGUGUGCCGACAUGUAAAGGUUUUUGAUCUAUGCAAUCUGAAAUUUGACUUGCAAUCUCUUCAAUAAUGUUGCCUUCAUGUCUAUGCACAAUUAUAAGAUACAAAAGAAGAUGUGAAGAUUUAGAGAGUGAACUACAGAGAUGUAAAUAUUUGCAAAGUAAAUUUGAUGGUAUUCACUUUUGUUCAAAGCAAUUAAAUUAUGAACAAAAUAAUAUAAAUUAAAGGAAUUGAAUCAAAUUUAAUUAAAAUCCAUAUCUAGCUUCAUUUUGUACCUAUGCGAAAGAGAAAAAAAAAUAAGGAAAAAAUAACUGGAAUAAAAUGGAAAAUGUGAUUUUGUAUUCAGUUAUUGCCUUAAUCAAGGUGUCACAAUGUUAUGUCCCUUCUAUGGUAAAGGAUGCUAUUAUUAGAAUCCUAGAAAAAAUUACCACCAGAAUGUUGUCUAAUCUUUCCAGUGUAGUAUAUGCAGACUGUAAAUUGAAGCAUAAACUAUCCUCCACUCCAUUCAUCUUUUCCAUUUCAAACAAGUUGUUCAUGAGAACACUUCUCUGACAUUCUAGUGAAUUAAGGCAGCCAAGAGUGUUUGUAAAAGCACUCCUUGCAACUUGCCAAUGUAUUAAUUAUAAGGGACUUUUUUACCUUCUCAAUUCACUUGCCAAAACUUCAGCUUACCUUAGGGUCUUUGCGUUUCCUCAGUUCCUUAUUUGCCAACUAAUAUGGGAGAGAUUUUAGGAACUGCUUAAUCCUUGAGUCUUAAUCAUCUCUAUUUUGUGAUCAUUUGACAUACUCUACUCUACAAAAAAUAUAUGUCAAAUUCCACUUUAUGAAUUACUAUGAUCACAGAUUACAUUAUCACAAGUGCUUAGGAUCACCUAAAAAGGACAUGUUAUCUCAAUAUUGUAAGAUAUUAUGGUGUCAAUCAUGAGAGUACUUGUAGCCACUUUUUAGGACAUAUAAGGAAAAAAAAUAUGUUCCAUCAUAUCCUAGCCAAAAUUAAUAAAUAAAUAACUCUAAUGGUUUCGAAUGCCAAGAUUAUUCUCUCUAUUAGCCUUAGACUUUGUCAUAGUAUGCUAUUCAAUUGCAUAAAUCUCCUAAGAUUAUGGCAUAUGCCUUAGCCAAUCUUAGCUUGCUAUUCAAUUGUAUAAAUAUGCACAAUAUCAUGUUGUAAUGAAUUGAGGUGUUUUUGCUUUGUAAAGAUCGUUGCAUUUCCAUUCCUCAUGAAAUGAAUGUAUAUAUAUCUAUAUAUAUAAGUUUUAAACCCCUUAAUUGAUUGGAUUGAAAAUGAGCUUUUUUAGGUCCUAAAUCUCUCUCAUUUGCUUCAAAAAUUUUAUGCUUAAUGAAACAUAUAAUGAACCACUUCAACAUAACAAAGAACUUUUAAAUAUCAUAUCAAUGGGAAAUUCGAAUGAGAUGACCAUUUUAAUUACAAAUGCUCCUAAUUAAAUUAAAAGGAUUUAGAUUAAAAUGUGAAAGGAAUACAUAAAAUUGGGGUUGGCCUUGUUGUUUAGGCAAAAGAUCUUAUACCAGUUUCUUAUAAAGGCGAAAGUUUUAACAUCAAGGAGAUCACACACGAAGGUAUAUAAGGUUUUAAUGUGACGAAGGAGAUCAUUUUACUGUACUAAGGAAAAUAUUGCAAAUAACAUAAAUUAAAUAUAAAUAUUAGGUGUUGAAACAUUCCAUGUUUUGUCACUUUUUUUAUCUACACAUUGAAUUACAAGCCCUCACUUUAUUGGGUGUACUCUCUCAUUCUUCCUCACAUCUCUAUCUACCAUAUAUAAUCUUCACAACAUCAUUUUUGUAUCAUAAUUUUUUCCCCGAUAUUCCUAAAAACUUUCAUUCUUCAAUAAAAAGAAAAUUAAAUAAUAAAUUUUAAGUUAACAACUUAAAAAUAAUUUAAUUUAAACUUCAAUUAUUAAGUUUUAUGGAGCGUGGUCUAAGUGUAUAAGUAGAUAAUAUAAUUUAGGAAGAAAGGUGGGAGAUGAGAUUAAUUGCUUCCACGGGACAAAAUUGCAUAUACCAAAAUAUUGGUUGUAAAACUUGUUAUAGUUUACUAGAAAAUAGAUCAAGAGACAGAGAGGAGAAAAUUUGCAAACAAGAGAUGAAGGAAAGUUAUACUUACGUUUUUGGGUCCACAUGAUAUCCACUCAUAUUGGCUGCUGCAGUCAAAGCAUUUCCCCAUUUCUCUAUCAUCUCAACUUUCUCCUUGUCUGCGUCUCUCUCAGGAUAAGUAUACCUUGUGCAAUAACUUCCCGUCUGAUGUCGUACAUGUGAAGGAUCCACGUGAUAGAAAAUCGGCAAAACAAUUCUGCCAUCAUCGCUUGCAAUUGACUCAAUAAUAGCCAGUAAUUCAUUUAAACACCAUCGGGAAUCAGCAUAGUUCUUAGAGAAAACUACUAUACAAAUACGUGAUUCUUCAAUAGCAUCUAAGAGUUGAGAUGAAAUCUCCCCACCACGUUCAAGUUGCUCAUCAUCUCUAAAUGUAUUAAAUCGAUUUCCAACUAAACCUUCAUAAAGAUGAUCGACAAAAUUCAUACGGGUAUCACUCCCUCUAAAACUCAAAAAUACAUCAUACUUGUGUGGGAGCUUGGAAGAAGAGGACGAGGUUUCGGUACUGGUUGAAGCCAUUCAAGACAGGUGGUGUGCUAAAAUUGCAAAGAACUGAGAUUUCUCUGCUACGAUGCUGAGGCUUCAGAUAAAUAUAACAUUUUAAGCAGUUUCUUAUCAUCUUAACCUGGUGGGUGGGAGCAGGUUUCCAGGAAGGAGCAUCGGCCCUCAAAAGUCAAACAAAUUCUAUGGGGUUAUUCUCUGCUACAUAGUUUUGAGUUAUAAAAUACCGUAUUUGAAUUUAUUUUUUAAAGCCCUUGACUUUAAAUUAAAAACUUUUCUUUCCAUAAUAUUUUUGUCAUGCUAAAAUUUCAUGAAAGUAACAAGGAUAUGUAGAGUGUAAAUACAUUUUUUAUUUUUUUAUUUUUAAAAAUAAAAAAUUAUAAUAAGUUUUAUAUAAAACAUUACAGCUCUCCAAUAAAAAAGCAUUUACUUAUUUUAUAUUCUUAAAAAUUAUUUUUUUAGAAAUUUUAUAAUUUAUAAUAAUUAAACAUUUUUAAUACCUCACUUUUGUUUUUUUUAAAUGUAAG